rnacentral:rRNA from 1 species
GGGAAUUUUGGACAAUGGGCGCAAGCCUGAUCCAGCCAUGCCGCGUGCGGGAAGAAGGCCUUCGGGUUGUAAACCGCUUUUGUCAGGGAAGAAACGCGCUGGGCUAAUACCUCGGCGUAAUGACGGUACCUGAAGAAUAAGCACCGGCUAACUACGUGCCAGCAGCCGCGGUAAUACGUAGGGUGCAAGCGUUAAUCGGAAUUACUGGGCGUAAAGCGUGCGCAGGCGGUCGUGCAAGACAGAUGUGAAAUCCCCGAGCUUAACUUGGGAACUGCAUUUGUGACUGCAUGGCUGGAGUGCGGCAGAGGGGGAUGGAAUUCCGCGUGUAGCAGUGAAAUGCGUAGAUAUGCAGGAGGAACACCGAUGGCGAAGGCAAUGUCUCUGGCCUGCACUGACGCU